AGGAAGAUAGCUCAGUUGGUAGAGCAGCGGUUUCCAAAACCGAAGGACACGGGUUCAAGUCCCCUUUUUCCUG
rnacentral:tRNA from 1 species